GUAUAUACGUGUGUGUGUCUGUGUGUGCGUGCAUGUUAUGUGUGUGUAUGUGUAGGGGCAAGGAGGAUUCUCUGGGACUGGAGUUGACCCUGCCUUCCCCUCCCCUUGGGCUAAAGCUUCAAGAGCUGAGGAGGCAGAACUGCAGAGAGAGGGCUGCUGAGGGCUGAAGGGAAUCACGCCUAUAAGCGGGCCCUGCCAGGACCUAACAUUUUCCCUUCUCCAGCCACAGUAAAAAUAAAUGCUCCUGCCAUUAAUAGGACUAGACCUUGCCUGCCAAUGAACACAUCUGCAGAGGAGCCACCUGGAGGGACAAAUACACAAGGACUUGUCAGCUAUCCACCUGCCAGACUACUUCUCUUAAAGGCCCUGUGGGAAGCCCUCACAUACCACCCAGAAGAGAACCUGCUGAGUUCUGUGUGGCAGAAAGCAGGCAGUAGAAGUUGUGAAAUUGCUGGAAAAUGGCUGAGGAUCUUUGACCUGUCUCUUCAAAGGACCAGUUCCCAAGUCUCUCCUUUCAACACUCCCUGCUCGCUGCUAUUUAAGCUACCACCUGGAAGCAUAUUCAGCAUGUGGGACCAGCCCUAAAACUUGCUGGAGUUCUUGUUUCUUCCUUGGUCUGUGUGAGUAGCAAAGACAUGUAAGAUCCUACAUGUGCAGGUUCUGGGGGCUGCUGCACAGCUCUACAUGGAAGCUC
ensembl:lncRNA